AAGGUGUGCGGCUAACCCUGUAAGAUGAGAGAAAAAACCAAUAAAGAGCAUAAACUCUAAAUUCUAGAAAGCGAAAAAGUUGAGUCUGAAGAUAAUAUUACAAGAGAUACCUGCUCCAUAUAGAGAAUGAAUAGAUCAGCACAAGUUCAAGACUACUUAAGCUUUAAGUGGGGUAAAAAGAUAUCAGGAACCGGUGUAGAAAACAAAGAUGUCCAAUUCUAUGAAUCUUUCACCUAUAAAGGUUCUGAAUAUUGUCUUUAUGACUGUGUGACAACUUGCUUUGACGUUGAACAAAAAUUUAGAGGGAUCUUUGUUGGCAAUAUCAUAAGAAUGUGGGAACACAAUGAUCAACGUGAAGACCCGAGGAGAGUCGAGCUACUAUGGUUCUUCAGACCUUGUGAGAUUAAGUCGUCGCAUCUUCAAGGAGUUCAAGAUAUACGUGUCAACGAAGUGUUCUUGGCUUCAGGAACAGGUAGGUCAAGGUCUCACUAAUGUAAACCCAAUGUAACAUCGUUCCAACAGGAAGCAAUUUUUGGAAAAUGUUAUGUCCUAUGCACCUCGAAAGACGUAAGGAACCCGCAACCCUCGGAUGAAGAAAUCAAGGCGGCUGACUUCGUUUUUCAUCGAACUUUUGAUGUUUGGCAUUAAAAAAGUCUUGGAAGAGAUAAAUGAUACAAUUGCUGGAGUUGAUGUUAAGUAUCUCUUUAACAAAACCAGUUGUGAGAAAAAAGCUACGGUCGUACAGAAUAUAA